AGUGGAAUUGCUGGGUUGUAUGGCAAAUUUGUGUUUAACUUUUUAAGAAAUUACCAAAUUACUUUUCAAAGUGGCUGUACUGUUUUACAUUCCCACCAUCAAU
rnacentral:pre_miRNA from 2 species